rnacentral:rRNA from 1 species
AUUGAACGCUGGCGGCAGGCCUAACACAUGCAAGUCGAGCGAGCGGCGGACGGGUGAGUAAUACGUGAGUAACCUGCCCUCCUUUUUGGGAUAAGCCUUUGAAACGGAGUCUAAUACCGAAUAAAGGGGGAUGGGCUCGCGGCCUAUCAGCUUGUUGGUGUGGUGAUGGCCUACCAAGGCGGUGACGGGUAGGCGGCAUGAGAGGGUGACCGGCAAAAUUGGGACGGAGAUAAGGCCCAGACGCCUACGGGAGGCAGCAGUUGGGGAUAUUGCACAAUGGGCGAAAGCCUGAUGCAGCGACGUCGCGUGGGGGAUGAAGGCUUUCGGGUUGUAAACAUCUUUCGCUAGCGAACGGGUAGGUGGAGAAGAAGCGCCGGCUAACUACGUGCCAGCAGCCGCGGUAAUUC